CACAACGAAAUAUGAAGCGGCUGGACCUCUUGGGUUACAGCCUUGCUGAAUUAUUUUCACCCAUUGUCUUUUGCGCACUUCUUGUUUCCUGGGGGGUUCGCCCGCCACCUAGGACAAACAUAAACCUUUUUUUAAUGCAGUGCAAUCAGCGUCAGUAACAAAUGUAAUAUUA
rnacentral:misc_RNA from 1 species